UACGGAGGGUGCAAGCGUUAUCCGGAUUCACUGGGUUUAAAGGGUGCGUAGGCGGCCAGGUAAGUCAGUGGUGAAAUCUCUGGGCUUAACCCAGAAACUGCCGUUGAUACUAUCUGUCUUGAAUAUCAUGGAGGUAAGCGGAAUAUGUCAUGUAGCGGUGAAAUGCUUAGAUAUGACAUAGAACACCGAUAGCGAAGGCAGCUUACUACAUGGAGAUUGACGCUGAGGCACGAAAGCGUGGGGAGCAAACAGG
rnacentral:rRNA from 1 species